rnacentral:tRNA from 1 species
GCCGUGGUAGCUCAGUGGUAUAGAGCAUCGAACGCUUUAUUCGAAAGUCGCAGGUUCGGUUCCUGCCCAUGGCA